rnacentral:tRNA from 1 species
UCCCGUGUGGCUCAGACAGUAAAGCAUCUGCCUACAGUGCAGGAGACCCGGGUUCGAUCCCUGGGUCGGGAA